UCCUUCUUAGCUCAGUUGGAUAGAGCGCGUCACUAGUAUUUUGAAAUUCAUUGGCUUAAUAUAAUGACGAGGUCAGUCGUUCAAAUCGGCUAGAAGGAA
rnacentral:tRNA from 1 species